rnacentral:misc_RNA from 1 species
CACGCCUCCGACACGCGAGCCCCACCGUGGCCAUCAUAAACACCAAAAAAGUCGUACUUUUCGCCUCCUUUGCACGUAAAACCUAAUUCUACUCUCACUGCAUCCUCCAUCUCUCUCCUCCUCCCUAUCACCGAAACGGAUCCAUAUGAUACACGCUUAAAACCCUGCAAAUCGUCGCUUUUCUUGAAUUCAUUUUCUUCGAAACUAGAUAUAACGACUUCGUUUUUAGAGGGAGCGUUAUCUGACGAGGAUGUUAAUGAUAACGCGAUCUCCGCCGAACAAUCA